rnacentral:lncRNA from 1 species
UCUUAAAAAAAAAAAUCAUUUUAUUGACCCUUUACCAUACAAAAUUUAUUCAAAUUACAUCCAUUUGAAGUGGUAAGAUCACAGCUAGAACAGGUCACCCUGUAACAAAUCUAUUUACAAAAUCCAUCAUAAAAGCUUUUGUUUGUUUGUUUGUCUAUUUUUACAUUAUAUUACAUUAUUUAUUUAUUUUUUUUUAAACUAGCAUACAGCACAAAGCUAAACUGAUUAGUAGUUUGCCUACUCCCAGGGUUGGGAGGAACACUUCCUUUUUACAAAAAGCAUGUACCCCGUAGGAAAGACAUUCCCACACCCUGCCAACUGCCACCCAACCUCCUCCUCAAGGCAUCUUCCUCAGAUCCCUUCUCACACACACAACCUGCCACGCGCACACUUGGAUUCUUACUUCGUUUUUUUUUUUUUCCUGAAAGCGAAAGCUUUAAAUACUGUGAUUCUAUUUACAGACAGAACUACAUGAACCACAAAAAAAAAAAAAAAA